GAUGAACGCUGGCGGCGUGCCUAAUACAUGCAGGUCGAGCGAACAGACGAGGAGCUUGCUCCUCUGACGUUAGCGGCGGACGGGUGAGUAACACGUGGAUAACCUACCUAUAAGACUGGGAUAACUUCGGGAAACCGGAGCUAAUACCGGAUAAUAUAUUGAACCGCAUGGUUCAAUAGUGAAAGACGGUUUUGCUGUCACUUAUAGAUGGAUCCGCGCCGCAUUGGCUAGUUGGUAAGGUAACGGCUUACCAAGGCAACGAUGCGUAGCCGACCUGAGAGGGUGACCGGCAAAACGGGAACUGAGAACCGGUCCAGACUCCUACGGAAGGAAGCAGUAGGAAAUCUUCCGCAAUGGGCGAAAGCCUGACGGAGCAAAGCCGCGUGAGUGAUGAAGGUCUCGGGUUCGUAAACCUCUGUUAUUAGGGAAGAACAAAUGUGUAAGUAACUAUGCACUUCUGGAGGUUCCCUAAGCAGAAAGCCACGCCUACCUCGUU
rnacentral:rRNA from 1 species